GGAGUUUGGACCGUGUCUCAGUUCCAAUGUGGGGGAUCUCCCUCUCAGGACCCCUAAUGAUCGUCGACUUGGUGAGCCGUUACCUCACCAACUAUCUAAUCAUAAGCAUGCCCAACCUUAACCCUUGCGUUUCAUCACACGAGGAUGCCCUCACGUGACACAUAAAGUGUUAAUCCGCCUUUCAGCGGGCUAUCCCUUGGUUAAGGACAGGUUGCAUACCUGUUACGCACCCGUGCGCCGGUCGCCAUCAGUCAAAGCAAGCUUUGACCAUGCUGCCCCUCGACUUGCAUGUGUUAGGCCUGUCGCUAGCGUUCAUC
rnacentral:rRNA from 1 species